CGGAACCAUAGAGACGCCACCCAGCUAGGCCCUGCCCCGCCGGAGGCGCUGCGGAGGCGAUGCCCCGCCCCUCGCCUUUGAGAUGCACAAAAAUGGGCAGAGAACAGACACAGAUGAAGCGGAAGAAAAGGAACAAGUUUUCCAAGCACCAAGCCUUACUAGUGGCAGCGCCAGGAUCUUCCCUUCAGAAAGCAAUUGUGCAUCAUGCCUGUGUAGUGUGAUUGUGCAGUCCAACCAGUUCUGAAAAAAAGAUGAGAGUCUGAAAUGCUCCUUAUGGAACACUGAAAUGCAGCCUAUCAAGUAUCACAUCUCCCAGGUGCUAGAAAGCUUGCCAGCUUGCUCAUAGGCUCUGUUUCACCAAAUUUCUGAAAUAAAUGAACACAAAACAAAACA
rnacentral:lncRNA from 1 species